UGAGAUCAAGUCACAUGCUCUACCAUCUGA
rnacentral:snoRNA from 1 species